rnacentral:rRNA from 4 species
CCAUAGAGCGUUGGAACCACCUGAUCCCAUCCCGAACUCAGAAGUGAAACGAUGCAUCGCCGAUGGUAGUGUGGGGUUUCCCCAUGUGAGAGUAGGUCAUCGUCAAGA